CCUACGGGUGGCAGCAGUAGGGAAUUUUCGGCAAUGAGGGGAACCCUGACCGAGCAACGCCGCGUGAAGGAAGAAGGAAUUCGUUCUGUAAACUUCUGUUAUAAAGGAAGAAAGACGGAUGGAGGAAAUGACAUCCGAGUGACGGUACUUUAUGAGAAAGCCACGGCUAACUACGAGCCAGCAGCCGCGGUAAUACGUAGGUGGCAAGCGUUAUCCGGAAUUAUUGGGCGUAAAGAGGGAGCAGGCGGCAGCAAAGGUCUGUGGUGAAAUACUGAAGCUUAACUUCAGUAAGCCAUAGAAACCGGGCAGCUAGAGUGAGAGAGAGGAAAGUGGAAUUCCAUGUGAAGCGGUGAAAUGCGUAGAUAUAUGGAGGAACACCAGUGGCGAAGGCGACGAUCUGGCCUGCAACUGACGCUGAGGGCCGAAAGCGUGGGGAGCAAAUAGGAUUAGAUACCCCUGUAGUC
rnacentral:rRNA from 1 species